UCAAAUUAUGGUUCCUCAUCACAUCUUCUU
rnacentral:piRNA from 1 species